rnacentral:rRNA from 1 species
UGGGGAAUAUUGCGCAAUGGGCGGAAGCCUGACGCAGCGACGCCGCGUGAGGGAUGACGGCCUUCGGGUUGUAAACCUCUUUCAGCGCCGAAGAAGCGAGAGUGACGGUAGGCGCAGAAGAAGCACCGGCUAACUACGUGCCAGCAGCCGCGGUAAUACGUAGGGUGCAAGCGUUGUCCGGAAUUAUUGGGCGUAAAGAGCUCGUAGGCGGUUUGUCACGUCGGAUGUGAAAACCCGAGGCUUAACCUCGGGCCUGCAUUCGAUACGGGCAGGCUAGAGUUCGGUAGGGGAGACUGGAAUUCCUGGUGUAGCGGUGAAAUGCGCAGAUAUCAGGAGGAACACCGGUGGCGAAGGCGGGUCUCUGGGCCGAUACUGACGCUGAGGAGCGAAAGCGUGGGGAGCGAACAGG